GAUCAUGGCUCAGGAUGAACGCUAGCGGCAGGCUUAACACAUGCAAGUCGAGGGCAGCUAUAAUGGAUAGCAAUAUCUAUGGUGGCGACCGGCGCACGGGUGCGUAACGCGUAUGCAACCUACCUUUAACAGGGGGAUAACACUGAGAAAUUGGUACUAAUACCCCAUAAUAUCAUAGAAGGCAUCUUUUAUGGUUGAAAAUUCCGAAUGGUUAGAGAUGGGCAUGCGUUGUA
rnacentral:rRNA from 1 species